rnacentral:rRNA from 1 species
GAUGAACGCUGGCGGCGUGCCUAAUACAUGCAAGUCGAGCGAACGGACGAGAAGCUUGCUUCUCUGAUGUUAGCGGCGGACGGGUGAGUAGCACGUGGAUAACCUACCUAUAGGACUGGGAUAACUUCGGGAAACCGGAGCUAAUACCGGAUAAUAUUUUGAACCGCAUGGUUCAAAAGUGAAAGACGGUCUUGCUGUCACUUAUAGAUGGAUCCGCGCUGCAUUAGCUAGUUGGUAAGGUAACGGCUUACCAAGGCAACGAUGCAUAGCCGACCUGAGAGGGUGAUCGGCCACACUGGAACUGAGACACGGUCCAGACUCCUACGGGAGGCAGCAGUAGGGAAUCUUCCGCAAUGGGCGAAAGCCUGACGGAGCAACGCCGCGUGAGUGAUGAAGGUCUUCGGAUCGUAAAACUCUGUUAUUAGGGAAGAACAUAUGUGUAAGUAACUGUGCACAUCUUGACGGUACCUAAUCAGAAAGCCACGGCUAACUACGUG